UACGGAGAGUGCAAACGUUAUUCGGAAUUACUGGGCUUAAAGAGUUCGUAGGCGGCGCAGAAAGUAGGGUGUGAAAGCCCUCGGCUCAACCGAGGAAUUGCGCUCUAAACUACUGUGCUUGAGGAAGCUAGAGGUGAGCGGAACUGAUGGUGGAGCGGUGAAAUGCGUUGAUAUCAUCAGGAACACCGGAGGCGAAGGCGGCUCACUGGGGCUUUUCUGACGCUGAGGAGCGAAAGCGUGGGGAGCGAACAGG
rnacentral:rRNA from 1 species